rnacentral:rRNA from 1 species
GAUGAACGCUAGCUACAGGCUUAACACAUGCAAGUCGCGGGGCAGCAUGAAUUUAGCUUGCUAAAUUUGAUGGCGACCGGCGCACGGGUGAGUAACGCGUAUCCAACCUUCCCCUGUCCACGGGAUAGCCCGUCGAAAGGCGGAUUAAUACCGUAUGAGGUCACACGAUGGCAUCAGACUGUGACGAAAGGUUUGGCGGACAGGGAUGGGGAUGCGUCCGAUUAGGUAGUCGGCGGGGUAACGGCCCACCGAGCCGACGAUCAGUAGGGGUUCUGAGNGGAAGGUCCCCCACAUUGGAACUGAGACACGGUCC